rnacentral:rRNA from 1 species
UACAGAGGUGGCAAGCGUUGUUCGGAAUUACUGGGCGUAAAGCGCGUGUAGGCGGCCCUGCAAGUCGGAUGUGAAAUCCCACGGCUCAACCGUGGAAGUGCAUUCGAAACUGCAGGGCUAGAGUCCUGGAGAGGAAGGUGGAAUGCUUGGUGUAGAGGUGAAAUUCGUAGAUAUCAAGCGGAACACCGGUGGCGAAGGCGGCCUCUGGACAGUGACUGACGCUGAGACGCGAAAGCGUGGGAGCAAACAGG